GAUUUUUCGAAUGUGUCGAAUAUCCAACGUCCAAUAUAAAACCAACUUUUUUACCACGGGGGGCACAUGUCCACCACUU